UCCGUAGGUGAACCUGCGGAAGGAUCAUUACCGAAUUGUCAACAAGGGUUGUUGCUGGCCCCCGUAUGGGGGCAUGUGCACGCUCUGUUUACACAUCCACUCACACCUGUGCACCCUCUGUAGUUCUAUGGCCUGGGGGGCCCUGUCCUCCUGCUGUGGUUCUAUGUCUUUACACACACACACCGAAAUAAAGUCUAAUGGAAUGUAUGUCGCGUUUAACGCAAUGAAAUAC
rnacentral:misc_RNA from 1 species